rnacentral:rRNA from 1 species
AGUGAACGCUGGCGGCAGGCCUAACACAUGCAAGUCGAACGGCAGCACGGUAAGAGCUUGCUCUUACGGGUGGCGAGUGGCGGACGGGUGAGGAAUACAUCGGAAUCUACUUUUUCGUGGGGGAUAACGUAGGGAAACUUACGCUAAUACCGCAUACGACCUACGGGUGAAAGCAGGGGAUCUUCGGACCUUGCGCGAUUGAAUGAGCCGAUGUCGGAUUAGCUAGUUGGCGGGGUAAAGGCCCACCAAGGCGACGAUCCGUAGCUGGUCUGAGAGGAUGAUCAGCCACACUGGAACUGAGACACGGUCCAGACUCCUACGGGAGGCAGCAGUGGGGAAUAUUGGACAAUGGGCGCAAGCCUGAUCCAGCCAUACCGCGUGGGUGAAGAAGGCCUUCGGGUUGUAAAGCCCUUUUGUUGGGAAAGAAAAGCAGCAGGUUAAUACCCCGCUGUUCUGACGGUACCCAAAGAAUAAGCACCGGCUAACUUCGUG